rnacentral:rRNA from 1 species
GUCUUCUCGUUUUUGUGGGAGGUCGGGCCUGCCCGGUGAAUUGUUUUAACGGCCGCGGUAUUUUGACCGUGCAAAGGUAGCAUAAUCAUUAGUCUUUUAAUAAGGGACUGGAAUGAAAGGUUUGACGAAAUAAUAACUGUCUCGUUAUAAUAGUUUUGAAUUUAACUUUUAAGUUAAAAGGCUUAAAUUUUGUUGGAAGACGAGAAGACCCUAUAGAGCUUUAUUUAUAUUUGUUUAAUUUUUAUUGUCUAUUGUCUUGUUUUAUAAAUAUGUAUUUUGUUGGGGUGACAAGGAAUAAAUUUAUAACUUUCAUUAUUUACAUAACAUUAAUUUAUGAUUAUUAGAUCCAUUAUUAUUGAUUAUUAGAAUAAGUUACCUUAGGGAUAACAGCGUAAUCUUCUUUGGGAGUUCAAAUUUACAAGAAGGCUUGCGACCUCGAUGUUGGAUUAAGAUUAUAAUUAGGUGUAGCAGCUUAAUUAAUAGGUCUGUUCGACCUUUAAAUUCUUACAUGAUCUGAGUUCAGACCGG